rnacentral:tRNA from 1 species
GCUGGCGUAGCUCAAUUGGCAGAGCAGCUGACUUGUAAUCAGCAGGUUGCGGGUUCAAGUCCCACCGCCAGCUCCA